rnacentral:rRNA from 1 species
GACGAACGCUGGCGGCGUGCUUAACACAUGCAAGUCGAACGGAAAGGCCCUGCUUUUGUGGGGUGCUAGAGUGGCGAACGGGCGAGUAACACGUGAGUAACCUGCCCUUGACUUUGGGAUAACUUCAGGAAACUGGGGCUAAUACCGGAUAGGAGCUCCUGCUGCAUGGUGGGGGUUGGAAAGUUUCGGCGGUUGGGGAUGGACUCGCGGCUUAUCGGCUUGUUGGUGGGGUAGUGGCUUACCAAGGCUUUGACGGGUAGCCGGCCUGAGAGGGUGACCGGCCACAUUGGGACUGAGAUACGGCCCAGACUCCUACGGGAGGCAGCAGUGGGGAAUAUUGCACAAUGGGCGGAAGCCUGAUGCAGCAACGCCGCGUGCGGGAUGACGGCCUUCGGGUGGUAAACCGCUUUCGCCUGUGACGAAGCGUGAGUGACGGUAAUGGGUAAAGAAGCACCGGCUAACUACGUG